GCAUUCCAAGAUCAAAGAAGGGAUUUUAUUAUUUUUUUAAGAAAGAAAGCAAAUAGAGAGAGAGAUUAUUCUCUUUAUCAGCAAGGUUGCAGUUAUCCAACCUUGUUGUGGCAGCAAGUACCAGUGUUCUUGACUUUGGAUGCUAUCAUUUUUGAUGGUUGGAGCUUAUAUCAACCACAACAGAAGAAAGUGCUUGAGUGAAUUAAUGGAGAAACAUUGUACAACCUAAAGAAUUCACAAGUUUCAUGUACUGAAGGGCAAGAUGUCACAUUUCACAGAACUGAUAUGCUUCUGAGAAUUGACAUGGGACAGCCUGAGAAGGAAGGCGUAAAGAUCCAUUUUCACUUUGGAUGGCUUUGCUGCACAGAAAACAAGAUCUGAUCCCCUUGUUUGACUACUGGGAUUACAGGCGCACCUUCUAAAGACAACCAAAGAGCCCUUCAGCCCAAGCAAACAGUUGACCUGAGAAGCCUGCAGAAGGAUUAUUUUUAAGUGCAGGGUUUAUCCUCAGAGCCACGGGUACAGCCAUAAAGCUGUACCAUUACUAAAAUAUCACUGUAUUUACCUGCUACUUCCAAUCAAGGAUCUCAGACUACAGGUAGGGUUUGCACAAAUAAGGAGCAUUGUAAACAAUAACAAAAUAUUUAUGUCAAUGAUUCUUUUCAUUUAUUGGCCUUGAUUAUUUUCUUUCCUAGUGGGCCAACACACCUAAGAGCAGUCCAGACAUAUUUCCUCUGUGAAGCAGAUUGUCAUCCCUAUCUUACUAGUAAAUGUACUAAUCCCAUCCUUUGGCAGCCAAUAAGAGCACUUACUCCUGUAUCUAAAUACUCCUAUUAGCAGCCAAAGUCAAUAUUUAGGACACAGAUUGCUCAUUGGAUUCUUUGUCCUUUUUCAGGCCUUCCAAUCAGUUGUAGAGGCCCAGGAACACUGCAGCUUAAAAAAUCAAAUGAAUGGCGAAAAAAGGGAGUUCUUCUUAGAACAACAUUUGCUAGCUGCCUCUUCAGAUAAGGAAAUGUGCAGCACAAUGUGUGUGCUGGCCAGCCUCCAAAUAGCACCAUGAAUCCCUGGAACACGUCCCGGAAUUUGAAUCUGAGCAAAAGAUGUCUGGAAAGAGCACAUUGCUGGCUUUCCAAG
ensembl:lncRNA